ACGCACGCUGGCGGCGUGCCUCAUACAUGCAAGUCGCACGCGAGCGACCGGUGCUUGCACUGGUCAAUCUAGUGGCGAACGGGUGAGUAACACGUGGGUAACCUGCCCAUCAGAGGGGGAUAACAUUCGGAAACGGAUGCUAAAACCGCAUAGGUCUUCGAACCGCAUGGUUUGAAGAGGAAAAGAGGCGCAAGCUUCUGCUGAUGGAUGGACCCGCGGUGCAUUAGCUAGUUGGUGAGGUAACGGCUCACCAAGGCCGUGAUGCAUAGCCGACCUGAGAGGGUGAUCGGCCACAUUGGGACUGAGACACGGCCCAAACUCCUACGGGAGGCAGCAGUAGGGAAUCUUCCGCAAUGGACGCAAGUCUGACGGAGCAACGCCGCGUGAGUGAAGAAGGUUUUCGGAUCGUAAAACUCUGUUGUUAGAGAAGAAUAAGUGCUAGAGUAACUGUUAGCGCCUUGACGGUAGCUAACCAGAAAGCCACGGCUAACUACGUG
rnacentral:rRNA from 1 species